rnacentral:rRNA from 1 species
UACAUGUGGGGCAAGCGUUGUUCGGAAUUACUGGGCAUAAAGGGUGCGUAGGCGGCUUGUUAAGUCAGGGGUGAAAUCCGGUGGCCCAACCACCGAACUGCCUUUGAUACUGGCGAGCUUGAGUGCGGGAGGGGUGACUGGAACGAGUGGUGUAGCGGUGAAAUGCGUAGAUAUCGGAAGGAACAUCAGUGGCGAAAGCGACUCCUGGACCAGUACCGACGUCAGGCACGAAAGCGUGGGGAGCAAACAGG